CUGUAGCGCAAUGGGUAGCACGUUAGACUUCUAGUCCAAAAUUGUGGGUUCGAAUCCCACCUGGAAGG